CAGCAGCCGCGGUAAUACGUAGGGGGCGAGCGUUGUCCGGAAUUAUUGGGCGUAAAGCGCGCGCAGGCGGUCCUUUAAGUCUGAUGUGAAAGCCCACGGCUCAACCGUGGAGGGUCAUUGGAAACUGGGGGACUUGAGUGCAGGAGAGGAGAGCGGAAUUCCACGUGUAGCGGUGAAAUGCGUAGAGAUGUGGAGGAACACCAGUGGCGAAGGCGGCUCUCUGGCCUGUAACUGACGCUGAGGCGCGAAAGCGUGGGGAGCAAAAAGGAUUAGAUACCCUGGUAGUCCACGCCGUAAACGAUGAGUGCUAAGUGUUAGAGGGGUCACACCCUUUAGUGCUGUAGCUAACGCGAUAAGCACUCCGCCUGGGGAGUACGGCCGCAAGGCUGAAACUUAAAGGAAUUGGCGGG
rnacentral:rRNA from 1 species